ACUUUCAUCAUCAAUUUCACACACCACUUAAUGAAGGAAAAGGGCCCCAAAGCAAUAAAAAUGUAAAAUUGUAACUCUCAAGAAUCGAACCUACAUCAACAAGAUUCCACAUAACUUGAAGAGAGCAUCUUUUCACUGAACUAGUUAAUAAAGUUAUUUAUUUUUCAAUUAUUUAAGUAUAUAUAAAUAUAUAGACCUAUAUAUAAUCGGGGGCCCUCAAUUUUUCGGGGCCCUGUGCGGUCGCCCACCCCGCACACCCUCAGAACCGCCACUG
rnacentral:lncRNA from 1 species